UCUGCCAGCAGCUGGAGAGGCAGGAGCUCCCUCAGCUGAGAUAUGGAAAGGAGCAUGACUUGAAAGUACAGCUCAUGAUAGCCCUGAGAGGAGGGGCACUAGGGUUUAGCCAGGGGGCUUUAGUUAAAAAUGAUUCUCUGAUGAAUAUUUUAUUUGUGGGUCUGAAGAUGGCUGACAAGGCCGAUCCGGGAUCAACAGACUCUGCUGCAACUUGGGCAUGUGUUCCUGUGCAGGGUGGGUGGCUCAGUUUUCUCUCCUGCAGAAUCUCUGUGAAACAACCAUAACACGGAGCUGAAGCACCUGCAAGCCUUCCUCCAGCUGGUGCCUAGCAACACAUGUUCCAAAUCAUUCUGAUGACAGUUAAAUUCAGUUAUUUUAUUUCUUCUCUCCAGAGCCACUCUUGAAUCGUCACCAAAAAGAAUGGACUGACUCUUCCCACUCCAUUUGUUAUAAAUGACUGGUAUUGGAAGAGCUGGUUUUCUGUAUUUGUCACAUGGGCACACUCUUGCCAGCUGUAAAAGCUUUCUUGAUCAAUGCACAAGACAGCUGCUGGCCUGUUUUUUUCCUCUUUUAAUCUUCUUUCUGUUCCCAAUAUCACCAGUGGUUUCUAAAGGGUCUUUCUUAGGAUGACGCAUCUGUUAAAUUCAUAACAACUCAUCUAGAUCAUUUCAUGUUCUGUGUACAUAGCUUGCCAGAUAUACCUUGAUUCUGAUACUUUUUAUCAUAGCAGUUUUACCGAAGUCCUCAAUCCUGCAAACCUUUAAGCAAACACUUAACUUUGCCAAGUGAGUAUUCCCAUUAUUAGGGAAGUUGUAGUAUUGCAGUGAAUAUAAUUGCUUAUUUUGGUAUUGAUUAUAAUUGCUUCGACUGUUUAUUCUGUUGUUUCUUUUUAUAUAAAGAAAAAAAUUAACCAUUAAAAUAAAGUUUAUCUGGUUAUGAUUUACAAUUUACUAUAAUUUGAUCAAUCAUUAUUAGUGCUUGGCACUAACCAUCUAUUUUACAUUUCUUAUUGCCUAGCAUAAAUGUAUUUGACCUAUUGGUCUCAUGACUUUAGAACUUAAAUUUAGUAUAAGGAAAACGCUUGUGUAAGGGUUUGUGGUAUGUCUGGUGUGUGUGGAUAUGUCUGGUUUAUGUGCAACGAGGUAACAAAAGAAUAAAUGAUGGACAUAUGUGCCAGCGACACAAAAAGACAGGCCUCUUGCAGCAGGUGAAAAUAGCCUCUGUGGUUUGACGGCUAAGAGCUGCAGCAACCUAGAGUCAGCAGUAAAGGAUUACCAAACACCACAUCACGCUCCAUCCUGAUGGCUGAAGACUGCAAGCGAUGGCCCCUGAAGACUGCAGACCACAAAGCCAGAAGAUCAUGACCUACCAAUCCCAGCCUGCCAACAGGACAAGAAGGAUGGCCUUUGCAUCUGACUCAGUGGAAUCCACAGGCUCUAUGGACAGCUAUCGCUAUAAAGAAUGAACACAAAGACAAGGCUUUGGGUCUUUUCCAUGUGCGAGAAGGAGUUUUGGGCACGUCCAACAAGACCUGACUCCAACUCUCUUGGUCAGCCUGGCUGGCCACCAGACUGACCUUGAGCAACUUUGAAACUCGGUAACGCCUUAACCUUGCAAGACUGUCUAACUUCUGUGUGUGUGUUUGUUUCUUUGUAUGAAUGAAUGAGUAUGCAUGAGAACGAGUGAAGCAAAUAACCUUAUUGUUCUUUAUUCUUUUCAUGUUGCAUGUUUUAUGUUCCAAUAAAUGCGGCGUUGUGCCUUAUCCCCUGAUAAGAUUCCAGCU